rnacentral:rRNA from 1 species
UACGGAGGGUGCAAGCGUUAUCCGGAUUCACUGGGCUUAAAGGGUGCGUAGGCGGACAGGUAAGUCAGUGGUGAAAUCUCUGGGCUUAACCCAGAAACUGCCGUUGAUACUAUUUGUCUUGAAUAUCCUGGAGGUAGGCGGAAUAUGUCAUGUAGCGGUGAAAUGCUUAGAUAUGACAUAGAACACCAAUUGCGAAGGCAGCUUACUACACAGUUAUUGACGCUGAGGCACGAAAGCGUGGGGAUCAAACAGG